ACAAAAUUCGUACCCUCGGUCUACCGAUCAAUAUCAUUCAUUCGGUGGAAGAUCUUCCCUUUAUCGU
rnacentral:pre_miRNA from 1 species